CUUUCAAUCUUUUUGAUGAAAAAAUUCUCUCUCCUAACCGCGUAUUAGGCGGUAACCAUUACCCACGUAAGUAGGGGAAUACUCGCUCGAGUUUGAGCAAAUUCUCAACCGUAUCUCACGGUUUGCACCGUGCUUGAAUUUGCUAGGGUGACACAAUUCUGGAAUUUCAAGCUGCUAAUUGACGCAAACUCCAUACUCGAUCGGUUGAUUUUCUUCUGCAAAUUACUCAAGAAGUUCAGAUCCUUUUUGGUUGCAGACUGCAGAAGCAAGGAAGGGGAGCAGGGGAGCAAAGCAUAGCAAUGGUUGGAGAGCCUUGAUUACUCUAAAAUUCUGAAUGGGGAAUCAUGAUAUCAGGCAUUAUAAUUAAUGGGGAAUGAGCAUCCACUGUAAUUAUUGGAAACACGGGAGCAUCCUCAACUGCAUUCGAAGGUGGACAUCUGGAUUACUACUACUUGAAGAUUUCUUUGAAUAGGCUAAGACAGGGGAAUGAGCAUCCACUGUAAUUUUCGGCAGCUUUUCAGAUCGGUGAUCCUUUACCAUAGCGGCAUAAUCAGCUUUGUUGUCGAAUUGAUAUCUAUGAAGACAAGUUCGAUGUACAAUCACUGCGUCCAAGUGCUUUUUGUAUAAGAUAAAUGUCAUAUAGUAUUUCGCUGGCUUAUAAAGAGACCAUAGUCUAUUCUCUUUUCAUUUGCUUCUGGAAAUUUGUUGAAGCUGGAGCAAAGCUGUAUCUAACAGGACCAAACACAACCAAAUAUAAAGUAAUUUGUUCGGCUAAAUCUCGACUUUCCAAUUCAGACUCGGGAUGGCCAACCAAUGUGAAAUUUGAUGCAAAGGAGGAGGUUAUAAUCACAGAUUCUAAGGGUGAACUUCAAUUGAUGAGCGGUUCAAUUCAACCCAUAGACGAUUGACACAGUCGUGGUGUUAGGUUCAAGAUGAUGGUGAAGGAAAAGAAGCCAAGGAUCCAUCAAAUUAGUACAACUCAUAAAGAUAUUAAUGAUUUGAAAAGGCCUUGUAAAAGAUAUAUUUCUUUUGUUAUAUUUUUUUUUUGUAAGGUUUGAAGAAGUUGAUAGUAGACAUUAUAUAAAUGACUUAUUUUAUUUGCGGUGAAACAUAAUAUUUUAGUGUAUUUAAUCAUUAAUAAUAUUAUAUACUAGUCAUUUCUACCUAAA